UCUCUGAAAGCCCCUGGCCUCUUCCUUCCAGGACCCCUCGCCUUGCCUAGCCUUUCCCGAGACCCCUCGCCUCUGAAAACCCCCCUCGCCCUGCCCCGCCCCUUCGGAGACCCUUCCCCUCUGGAAGCCCCUCGCCCCGCCCCUCUCAGGCCCUCCCACCGGCUAGCGUCUGGCUCCCUGCUCCGGGGACGGUGGACCGGGAGAGAGCACGAUUCUCUGAACGGGGUGGGCCUGGAGUUCGUGUCACAGCGAGUAGCAUGUUUAAAUGUAAUGUAUGUUCAGUGUGCAAACCGCGGGCCGGGUGUCCUGCCAGCCCUCGGUCUGAGGGAGUGUGUGCCGGAAAGGCACCUGCGCACCCAAGGCAAAGCCCCUCUCCCCGCUUGCAGGUCCCACUGAUCACAAAAACAGCUCUUCCUUCACCAACCCCACGCUCCAGCCCGCUGGGACUCUCCAGGAACAUCUGGCGGAGGUGGAGCCCUGUUUACACUCACAAUGAGAGCGUUUUUUCCAGGUCCUCAGCCUGUCUCCUUCCCUGGGCCCCCGUGAGGGCUCUGAGCUGCCACGACCUCCCCCCUGCCUGGGCCCAUCCCUCACCCAGGAGCAGACAACGCCCUGGAACAGGGGCCAGAGGCCAGGCCCUCCAGCUCGUCCCACCCACCUCUGCCUGCCCCUCCCUCCCACCUGCCCACCCCCCCCCCCCACCCCCAGGAUCCCAAAUCACCCUUCUUCUGGCGGUGGAAAGUCCUUCCUUCCUGGUGGCUGUCAGGCCCACAGGUGCACAGCCUGUUGGGCUGUGCCCUCCUUUGGCCCUCAUUUCCUGUGGCUGCCUCCACCUGACCCAACCACCCUAGGCCUGGGGCUUCAGGGGUCCCUGCAGGGGGCUGGGGGCUUCAGCCCAGAGCCCAGAGUAAACCAAACCAGGGUCUGUAUGAGGUGAUGGCAAGACAGAACUGAACUCUAGGAGCAGAGUGGGUCCAGGGCUGACCUGGAGAUGGGACGUCCAGGAUAGGUCCCUGCAAGGUCAGCGCCACCUGACACCGCUAUUGUGACAGCCCCUGGGGCUGCAGACAUCCUCAGCAAAGGUCUCAUUUGGGGGCUCGGAGCAGACAAGAGGAUACAGGCCAGGUGAAGCUCACUGCAAAAGACUCCAGAACCCAGUCCCUAAUCUGUGGAGUCCUGGCCUCAACCCAGGGAGACCCAUGAAUUAGAAUCCCACCCCUUGGCCACCCUGUGGGGGUCAGGAGCACACAUCAUUGGGAGAUGCGUGCCAGCUGGGCGCAGCCUGCCCCCCGCCCCAACUGGUCCAUGCCACGUGUGUGGUCCUUGUGGGAACCACUGUUUAUUUGACUUUCUUUCCCCUACCUUUUAAAUAAAAUGCAGUGGAGCAGAGAGCAGAAGCCACCUCCUAUGUCCUUAUAAAACACAUGUGUGUGCUGUGGGCGGGCGGCUCCCCAGCCAGGCCACCGGCCCAGCAUACUGCACCCACCUUCUGUCCCGAUAGACCUCAGGGCCAGCUUUGGAAACCCCCAGACGCAUGCACAAGCAGGGGCUGAGCCUGCCAGACAGCAGCCACCCAACCAGGAAGGGCCGGGGGUGCCCCUCCUGCAUCAUCGCAUUGUGCAGAGCUAAAGGACAGACAGCCUGGGACCCGGAGCAAAUGGGGCCCACUGUCCCAGGAUCCUGGGCGGGGCUUCUCCAGGGGCUGGGAGCACAGAGCCCCACCCUGGAGCUGGCUUCAAGGAACAAUCCAGCGUCCCUUUGGAGAGACUUGGUAAGGAGAAGGUCUGCACUCCAGGCCCUAUCUCUGGGCCUUGCAGUGUGGGUGAUGGAGGUGUGUGAGGACCUGUGUGAGGGUCCCCGGCUGCUGCAGGGCUGGUAUGAGGCCCCCCUCAGAGUGGGGCUGCCCCCAUCUGAAUCUCAGCACCUGGACAUUGCCUCUGAAUUACAGCCAAUGUGUUUCAUAAUGUCCCAUGCUUUUCCUGUGGAGCUAAUUUCCACUGCCUCUCCACACCCUCCACACAGACACCUUCCACCGCUCCUGUGUGAGAAGGCCAUGCCCAGGCCCAGGAGAAAUGCCACCACCAGCAAGCCAGGGUGGCACCUGAACUAGCCAGAUGCCCAUGAGACUGCCC